CCGUGAUUUCACCGCCAUUCUUGUUCUGUUUUGAAACUGUUUACAUCGCAAUUUGUUUUACAAAAAAUGGCAACAUUUAAAUCAUGACAUAACAAAUAUAAAAGGAAAUUUUAGCUGGUGUGAUAAGAUGAAAUGUCUCAUCGAUUGUUUGGUUUCUUUUCGUUGUUUGCAUGCAGACAUCCACAACAACAACAAGGGAAAUUUGAAACCGAAGUCGAAGAGGCUAGCCAAGCAGCGUACAACGUUAUACAAUACUCAUACUAUAUUAUUUGUCAAUUUGUUAUAUUUGACAAAAUUUGCUAUAUUAUGUUGGAGCCGGCCAGGUUAUAGCCCAGUUCUAAAUAUUGCUCUCAACAAUCAGGAAUAUCUGGAUUGAGUUGACAAACUAGUGUUGUAUUAGGUAAGAAAAAGAGUAAAUAGUCUGCUUUUAGUGCUUUAUAUGAAGAAAAUGGCAAACUGUCCCAGCUAAGGUGGCCAUUCAGGCCAGAUAAUCAGUCUAGAUCUUGUAAACAGCCUCUAAGGAGGUUGUUUGCAGCCUCUAAGGAGGUUGUUUGUAGGAUUUAUUACAUUUCUUGAUACUGCAUCAAGAAUUUAGUAACUAUUGUAUCAACACAAUUACACAUGAAUCCUAAGCCUACCUCUAAAUGCAGCCCAUUUUAAGGCCUGUUUAUACUGUGCUCAAUUUUGGUACCCUUAACAUGUUUACCAUGCAUGGACUACCUAUAUUCAUACAGGACGAGCACAAAUAAAUUUGGUACAGGACAACAGGUACCAAUUUUAUCUGUGCCAUAGCAAAAAAUGAGCAUAGUGUACAACAGUUAGUUUAGAUAAAGGUUCAGUGUGCAAUAACCAGUUUUCUGUCAUGAAUAAGUCAGUACAGUACAUGUAAAGCUGUCCAUAAGCCUGCAACAAUGCAGGGGGAAGGCUGUGGCUGGACCCAUUGACCUGCAAUUUGUCCUAAUGUGCUCCAUCUUGUUAAUUUACUCUGUCUGAUACCAAACAAAUAUACAUAUAUUUUCAUGCUUCAUAUACUAACUCGUCAGUAAGCCCUAAAGUCUCCCCGUAAGAUGGUUAAGCCAAUAUAUACCUGGUAACCCAUCAGAUAUGGCUACCCUAAGGGCAUCCCAUAUUUGCAUGGCCUAACACUAGAUUAUUCUUGCUGUCUUAAUGCCAAUUAAAGCUAAAACAUGUAACAUGUAAUUAAAGCUAAAACAUGUAAACAUAUGAUUUUAUCAAUUCGUAUUUUUUCAGCUUUUGCUCUGGACGAUACAGUCUAUAGAAAGACAGCUGCUAUGCAAAAACGGUACAGGACAAAUGCUGUGGGGUUCGAAGAGGAGAAACUAAAAGCAAACCAUCUGAGUGAGACUUGACAAUUAACAAUUAUUGACGUUUAGAUACUCAAUAUUUAUUUCUGGCCAUAAAUAAUAUAAUUAUAUAUUAGAAAAUUUUAAAUAAGUGUAGGUUAUAGUACCAUAUGUGUAAGUACUCUGGGACCGGUUGUUCAAAGCUGGACUAGUGAUAACCCUGAGUUAAAAUUUAACCUGCUGUUUUAGUUUGUGUAUUUCUGCAGGUCUGUUUAUCUCAAAACGUCUGUUUAUUUCAAAACGUCAAAGAAGAAAACUCCUAUCGAUCCAGACAAGAUCUUUGAAGACAUAUUUCCAAAUUUAUUGACAAGCUGUCAGGAAGUUUGCUUUGAAUUAAGCUAUAGGGUUAAGCUAAAUUACCUAAUCCAGCUUUCAACAACUGGCCCCUGGUGAAUGAUUGAUUACACUAUACAGUCUUAAAUUUAUCUAUAUGUGUGACCUAUAAUUAUAUAUUUACUAAUAUUAAAUUAAUAUUCUGAUAGUAUUUCUUCGUAUUAAAUUAUUAUGGCUUCAAGUGAACAUGGCAGAGGUACAGUUGCAGCAACUUUAUGUUGCAGAAGUAAGAGGAAAUAGUUUUAAUUUUAUGGUAGAAAUAAAUCUCACUUGGUGGUAGUUAUGUUACAUAUCUGUUUGGUAGAUAAUAUACAGACAAUUUUAUCUGUAGGGAAACUAUACUGUCACAUAACUGUGCCGGAUAUAUUAUUGGGUCAAAUUCCUAUAUGUUGCAGAUAUGUGGCAGACGUCUGUCACAUAACUGUGACAGGUGUCUGUCACAUAUAACUUUACUGUAACAGAUAUCUGCCACAUAACUGUGACAGAUAUGCCAUGGGGCCAAAUUCCUAUAUGUCGCAGAUAUGUGACAGAUACUUUCUUA